UACGAAGGGGGCUAGCGUUGCUCGGAAUCACUGGGCGUAAAGCGCACGUAGGCGGAUUGCUAAGUCAGGGGUGAAAUCCUGGAGCUCAACUCCAGAACUGCCUUUGAUACUGGCGACCUUGAGUCCGGGAGAGGUGAGUGGGAACUGCGAGUGUAGAGGUGAAAUUCGUAGAUAUUCGCAAGAACACCAGUGGCGAAGGCGGCUCACUGGCCCGGUACUGACGCUGACGGUGCGAAAGCGUGGG
rnacentral:rRNA from 1 species